rnacentral:rRNA from 1 species
GAUGAACGCUGGCGGCGUGCCUAACACAUGCAAGUCGAACGGAGAUUACGGACGGAAGUUUUCGGAUGGAAGACUGUAAUUCUUAGUGGCGGACGGGUGAGUAACGCGUGGGCAACCUGCCCUAUACAGGGGGAUAGCAGCUGGAAACGGCUGGUAAGACCGCAUAAAUCGGCGAGACCGCAUGGUUUUGCCGGGAAAUGAGCAAUCAGGUAUAGGAUGGGCCCGCGUCCGAUUAGCCAGUUGGCAGGGUAAAAGCCUACCAAAGCAACGAUCGGUAGCCGGACUGAGAGGUCGGACGGCCACAUUGGGACUGAGACACGGCCCAAACUCCUACGGGAGGCAGCAGUGGGGGAUAUUGCACAAUGGAGGAAACUCUGAUGCAGCGACGCCGCGUGAGUGAAGAAGUAUUUCGGUAUGUAAAGCUCUAUCAGCAGGGAAGAUGAUGACGGUACCUGACUAAGAAGCCCCGGCUAACUACGUG